rnacentral:rRNA from 1 species
AUGCCUGGAGACCUAUCUCAGAUGUGCCGUCCAUGCGUGCCCGGCCAACUGGGCGAAAUGUUUAGUGCUUGCCGAAUUUUGGUACAAUACUUCAUUUCACUCAUCGCUGGGCAGGACUCCGUUCAAAGUCAUAUAUGGCCACAUGCCUCGCGAGUUCGAGGUGUCGCAGAUCGACAACUGUUUUGUGCCAGACCUGGUAGCAUGGCUACAUGA